UAGAAAGUUCAGCAAAUGACAAAAAUGACC
rnacentral:piRNA from 1 species